GGACUACUAGGGUAUCUAAUCCUUUUUGCUCCCCACGCUUUCGCAACUCAGAGUCAGGAAGGUCCCAGUGCACUGCCUUCGCCUUUGGUGUUCCCCACGAUAUCAACGGAUUUCACCCCUACACCGUGAGUUCCAUGCACCUCUAACCUCCUCUAGUCUUGCCGUAUCUCCUGCACUUCCAGGGUUAGGCCCUGGGCUUUAACAAAAGACGCGCAAAACCUCCUACGUGCGCUUUACGCCCAAUAAAUCCGGAUAACGCUUGAGGUCUACGUAUUACCGCGGCGGCUGGCAC
rnacentral:rRNA from 1 species